CAGCCGCCGCGGUAAUACCGGCGGCCCGAGUGGCGGUCACUAUUAUUGGGCUUAAAGCGUCCGUAGCCGGGUUGGGAAGUCCUCCGGGAAAUCUGGCCGCUUAACGGUCAGAAUGCCGGAGGAUACUCCCAGCCUAGGGAGCGGGAGAGGCCGAGGGUAUUCCCGGAGUAGGGGUGAAAUCCUAUAAUCCCGGGACGACCACCUGUGGCGAAGGCGCUCGGCUGGAACGCGUCCGACGGUGAGGGACGAAGGCCAGGGGAGCAAACCGGAUUAGAUACCCGGGUAGUCCUGGCUGUAAACGAUGCGGACUUUGUGUCGGACAAGCUAUGAGCUUGUCCGGUGCCGGAGGGAAACCGUUAAGUCCGCCGCCUGGGGAGUACGGCCGCAAGGCUGAAACUUAAAGGAAUUGGCGGG
rnacentral:rRNA from 1 species